AAUCCAUUCAACUUGAGUGAGCACGAGUGGACAGUCCUGCAGGUGCAGGAAUGGAAACAGAGGCAGACAGCGUCCCAGCCCCCACAGAAAGCCAAGGGUGUACAAAUUAAGAGGACUUUUUGCUGUUGUUCCUGCAUGUCUUUGCAGAAGAACCAAGUACUUCUCAUUAUCUUUUCCAAAUGGUUGGCCCUGUCCCAGGAGUUCAAGGUCUGACCAUCCUCAGGAAUGGAUAGAAGUAUAUUAAGAAAUGAAUUCAAUCCUGAUAAAAUGAUGGUGGAGAAGAGAAAGAAGAAGAGGGAUAAAAGAGCUUGGAGAGUUAGGAAUAAAUUCCCCAGCUCAGUGGUGUCCUCAAGAGCAUCUGAAUUUGGAAGGAAAGGAACUUACACCUUUGUUCUCCUAAAAAAAUAAACACAAAUGAA